UGUGGCUUUAAGAGUUUAAGCAACCAGUUCCACGGCGCUGUUUGAACAGAUUUGGCAACCUGACUGAUAUUAUUGACUGCCUGACAUUUCAAGUGAGUGCGGUUAAGAAAGAAGUCUGCGUGCUCGUUGAAGAAACGUAACUUCACAGAGGCCUUUCCCCUGCGUAAAUUAUGAAUCCCCAUGGAUUUCAUUAAGAAACCAAUUUACUAAGACGCAUUAACUUCCACUUCCGAUGCUAGAGUUUGUUGGUUCGUUGAAUAUGAUGGUGUUAAACCGCGGCCGAAGCUGUGUACAGAACUGGGAUCGAGUACCAUGUUCGUUUCUGCAUAAGAAAACUGCAUAAGCGUAAAAGUAAUGGAAGUAACAUUUGGAUUUAACAAGCAAUUUAAGCUUUAAUUAGUCAUUGUCUUAUGAUCAACAAACACCACAGCCAUUUCUUAAAAGUCAAACAGUCAUUAUGCAAGCCCUGGAUGGUAAAACAGAUCUUAUUCUUUAAUGUGGACACUGUGGCUAAUUGACUUGUCACAGUAGAAUUAGAACGUUGUGGCUUCUUGGUCAGCUGAUUUGUGUUGGCUAUUCUUCGGGUGUUAACAGGUUGUAUUUGAAUUAAAACAAAACUUAAGGUAUCAUAUAAUUUAUUAUGUAUGGGGGCCAUUACUCUGUUCUUAGCAUGUAAAAUAAUUAAUAAUCUUUUUUUUUUUUACUUUAGGCAAUUCACAAAUGGAUGACCAAUGUGUUAACCUGGGUCAUAUUGAAGAGUGAUGGCACAUCCUAAAACAAUAAACACCAACAUGAUCUGACGAUCUGCUAUGAGACUUUCAGUUUGAAUUCAUAAAGAGUCCCAAGCAAAUACCAAAGUAUUGCCACAUUGAUUAAUGAUUUUGGCAAAUUGGGAGAGAUUUUUGGUUAAGGCCAGAUGCCCUAAAAAUUAUGAUGGUUGUAAACACACGGGAAUAUAUUCCAUAAUUAAUUGUCGUAUAUCACAUUCCGUGAUCGACUUUUGCAAACUCCAACCACAAAAGAUGUCAUGUAACUACAGUAUAUUUCCCUGUGUCAGAAAUAGAAGACGGAAAGCGAUACUACGUUUGUGAAGAAAGCCAUUCGCACUUCAUCGCAUCUGCUCCGUCCCGAAGAUACAAUAUUUGAAUUUGUAUAAAUUAAAGUGCAUAUCUGGGCUCCCUUCUUUUCUGUGGCCCCGUUUCCCCUUGACUCGUAAUAAGCCCGUAGGGGGUCAUGCCCCUACUGUGAUCAGCAGUAAAGGUUGUGAGUGCGCUGUCCGGAAAGGG
rnacentral:lncRNA from 1 species